AUUGAACGCUGGCGGCACGCCUAACACAUGCAAGUCGAACGAGUGGCGGACGGGUGAGUAAUGUCUGGGAAACUGCCUGAUGGAGGGGGAUAACUACUGGAAACGGUAGCUAAUACCGCAUACCAUCGGAUGUGCCCAGAUGGGAUUAGCUAGUAGGUGGGGUAAAGGCUCACCUAGGCGACGAUCCCUAGCUGGUCUGAGAGGAUGACCAGGAACACUGGAACUGAGACACGGUGCAGACUACUACGGGAGGCAGCAGGGGGGAAUAGUGCACAAUGGGCGGAAGCCGGAUGCAGCCAUGCCGGGUGUAUGAAGAAGGGCUGCGGGUUGUAAAGUACUUUCAGCGGGGAGGCGUUACCCGCAGAAGAAGCACCGGCUAACUCCGUGCCAGCAGCCGCGGUAAUUC
rnacentral:rRNA from 1 species